AUUGAACGCUGGCGGCAUGCUUUACACAUGCAAGUCGAACGGUAACAGGCCUACGGCUGCUGCCGAGUGGCGAACGGGUGAGUAUGAAUCGGAACGUGACCAGAGGCGGGGGAUAAGGCAGCGAAAGCUGAGCUAAUACCGCAUGAGAUCUGAGGAUGAACGCGGGGGACCAAGCAGCAAUGUUUGGCCUUGCGCCUAUGGAGCGGCCGAUGUCAGAUUAGGUAGUUGGUGGGGUAAAGGCCUACCAAGCCGACGAUCUGUAGCUGGUCUGAGAGGACGACCAGCCACACUGGGACUGAGGCACGGCCCAGACUCCUACGGGAGGCAGCAGUGGGGAAUUUUGGACAAUGGGCGCAAGCCUGAUCCAGCAAUGCCGCGUGCGGGAAGAAGGCCUUCGGGUUGUAAACCGCUUUUGUACGGAACGAAAAGGCUCUGGCUAAUACCUGGGGCUGAUGACGGUACCGUAAGAAUAAGCACCGGCUAACUACGUG
rnacentral:rRNA from 1 species